AGUGAACGCUGGCGGCAUGCCUAAUACAUGCAAGUCGAGCGAACACACAGUAAGAUUUCUCUCCUACGGUUAGCGACGGACGGAUGGGUAACAAAUACAUAACCUUCCUAUUUUUCUGGGGUAACAUCGUGAGAACACUUCUACUAAUACCUAAUAUGUCCUACGGCUUAAAGCAGUAGUGCUUCGGACCUUGCGUGAUACAUUGAGACGGUGUCGGAUUAGCUAGUUGGCGAGGUAACGGCUCACCAAGGCAACGAUGCGUAGCUGGCCUGAGAGGAUGAUCGGCCACACUGGAACUGAGACACGGUCCAGACUCCUACGGGAGGCAGCAGUGGGGAAUAUUGCGCAAUGGGCGAAAGCCUGACGGAGCAACGCCGCGUGAGUGAUGAAGGUCUUCGGAUUGUAAAGCUCUGUUGUUAGGAAAGAAAAACAGCGUAUGUAUCUACGCACGUUUUGACGGUACCUAAAGAGAAAGCCACGGCUAACUUCGUG
rnacentral:rRNA from 1 species